rnacentral:rRNA from 1 species
GAUGAACGCUGGCGGCGUGCCUAAUACAUGCAAGUCGAGCGAACAGACGAGGAGCUUGCUUCUCUGAUGUUAGCGGCGGACGGGUGAGUAACACGUGGAUAACCUACCUAUAAGACUGGGAUAACUUCGGGAAACCGGAGCUAAUACCGGAUGAUAUUUUGAACCGCAUGGUUCAAUAGUGAAAGACGGUCUUGCUGUCACUUAUAGAUGGAUCCGCGCUGCAUUAGCUAGUUGGUAAGGUAACGGCUUACCAAGGCAACGAUGCAUAGCCGACCUGAGAGGGUGAUCGGCCACACUGGAACUGAGACACGGUCCAGACUCCUACGGGAGGCAGCAGUAGGGAAUCUUCCGCAAUGGGCGAAAGCCUGACGGAGCAACGCCGCGUGAGUGAUGAAGGUCUUCGGAUCGUAAAACUCUGUUAUUAGGGAAGAACAUAUGUGUAAGUAACUGUGCACAUCUUGACGGUACCUAAUCAGAAAGCCACGGCUAACUACGUG